AUUGAACGCUGGCGGCAUGCCUUACACAUGCAAGUCGAACGGCAGCGCGGGAGUAAUCCUGGCGGCGAGUGGCGAACGGGUGAGUAAUAUAUCGGAACGUGCCCAGUAGUGGGGGAUAGCCCGGCGAAAGCCGGAUUAAUACCGCAUACGACCUACGGGUGCAAGGGGGGGAUCGCAAGACCUCUCGCUAUUGGAGCGGCCGAUAUCAGAUUAGGUAGUUGGUGGGGUAAAGGCCCACCAAGCCUGCGAUCUGUAGUUGGUCUGCGAGGACGACCAGCCACACUGGGACUGAGACACGGCCCAGACUCCUACGGGAGGCAGCAGUGGGGAAUUUUGGACAAUGGGGGCAACCCUGAUCCAGCAAUGCCGCGUGCAGGAAGAAGGCCUUCGGGUUGUAAACUGCUUUUGUCAGGGAAGAAAUCCCUUGGGAUAAUACCUCGGGGGGAUGACGGUACCUGAAGAAUAAGCACCGGCUAACUACGUGCCAGCAGCCGCCGUAA
rnacentral:rRNA from 1 species